UCUUGCAGGUAUACGACUGAUCAAAAGUUUGGAGUCACUUAAAAAUUUCCAUUCCACUCCAUUAUUGACAGAAUACCAGCUGAGAUCCGUUGCAUUGUUUUUUUUAACCAGGGCAGCAGUUUUCAGAUUACAUUAUGUGCACAUAAUU